CUUGUACAUUGUGCAGUCACCAUGGAGGCCAUGGCCUUUGCUCAGAGCAUACCCACAUACUGAAGACCAAAUUCUCAGAUAUUGAAAUCCAAAAUAUUCUGCUUGAUCUGGAUGAAUGCACAUAUAUGGACCAAAUGACCUUCUUCAGACUAGCAGGGGGAAAUGUACUACAAUUUCCAAACCUAGCUUCAAGACACCAACAACAGCUACUGAAAACUACAACUAAAGAUCUUGGUUCUGUGCGACCUUGCUCCACCCAUUCAGGCUACUUCUAUUGUUCCAACUUUAAAACAAAACCAAGGCAUCACAAGGCUGUUUGCUUCAUUGGAUUCAAAUAGACAGCUUUUUACCUCUGUCUUAAUUGUCCCUUCCAAAAAACAGGAUGAAGUAUACCUCUUACAGCUACAGUGUCAACAAACGAGUACUGCAAGGAUUGGUGCUUGGUCUCCAGUUCUUUACAAUCCAUAUCAAUGAUAUGAAUGCAGGGAUCAAUUGUAAUAUUUCCAUGCUUAGAGAUAAUAUAAAUCUUGGUGGGAAUGUCAGUUGUGAGGAGGAUGAAAAGGCCUUAAGGCGACUUUGCAGGCUGAGAGAGCAAGAGCAUGGAGGAUGGAAUAUAAUGCAGUUAAAUGUGAGAUUAUCUACUUUGAGGAAUAAAGGUGCAGAGUAUUUCUUAAAUAGCAAGGAAUUGAGAAGUGCUGAUAUCCAAAGAAACCUAAGUGUUCCUAAAACAUCAGAAGCUGAUAUGUAGGUACAGCAAACAAUUCAGAAGACAAACGACAUGCAAGCCUUUAUCACAAGAGGAUUUCAGUAUAGGAUCAAAUAUGACUUGUUUCAAUUGUAUACAACAUUGGUUAGAUUGCAUCCUGGAGUAGUGCCACAGUUCUGAUCACUUUUCUUAAAGGGAAUAUAGUGAAGGUUUAACAGAUUGACCCCUGAAAUGGUGGGAUUGUCCUAUAAGGAGAGAUUGAGGAGACUCAACCUAUAUUCCCCAAAAUUUAGAGGAAUGAAAAGUGUUGGCACAGAAACUUGUAAAAUUCUUAAAGUGAUGGGAUCAAUGCAGGAAAGAUGUCUUCCUUGGCUAUUUGGUCGAGAACCAGGGAACAAGUUUCAGAAUAAAGAGCAAACUAUUUAAGAGGAGGAACAUCUCCAGAGGGUGGUGAAUCUUUGGAAUUCUCUAUCCCAGAAGGCCACAGAAGCUCAAAAUAACAAACAACCACAGACAGUGCUAGUGAAACUCAGCAGGUCUGCCAGCAUCUGUGUAGAGGGAAACAGAAUUAUUGCUUCAAGUACAGUAUGAUUCCUC